CCUGCAGCAUCUCCACUGUAUCACGAAUAUAGAUGCACAAAGCUAGACAUGCAGAAGGACUUCCAGGUGUUGAGUCUGGGCUCUCUUCACCAUGGUGGCCAUUCUGGCUCAUGCAGGGUGAUUUGCUGAGACAUCUGUGAGCAUGGAGGGAGGCUGUGUAGAGCAUGCCAAGGGCAGCAAGCACACAUGCUGCUGAACACAGCUGUGCUUCAGAGAGGGCAGUGUGAAAGGUUGUUUCUUCAGAAACAAAUCCUUGCCCUGGGAAUCCUGUCUGUAUUAACCUGGAAAUGUCCAAGUUGGAAAACUUUGAUGUCUGCAUCUCUCCUGAGGUCUUGCCAGCUCUGGGGUGCGAGAUCAGACAUCUCUGCAAUCCCUCUCCUAAGAACACCAUUGCAAAAGAACUCUACUGGGUAACCCAGAAACCUGGGUUUGAUUCCGCUUGCUUAAGCAAUUCAGUCUAUCAGGCAAGGGAGGAUAUUUCAUCCCUCUUCCUUGAGGGAGCUGAUGUGCUUCCAGGCAUAUGCAAAUGCUCUUGAUACAUCAAUAGUAAUGGACAAAUGGCAGCCUGGCUUAAGAAAAACAGAUCUUGCAAGGUAAGUGUGAUUGCUUCCACUGGGGACAGAAUGGAGAAGGAUCAGACAACCAAAGGCGUGAGCAGUACCUACAAUGGCCUAGGACCUCUGAGGAGUGUUUGAAGCAUGAGAGAGGCAUGAGAAAACUGGCUGAGAGUUCUCUCAUGCCAUUGAGGGGCAUGAUGAAACUGGCUGUCAUAGUGGUGAGAGGCAUGCAAAAGCUGGCUGUCAUAGUGGCACAAGCAGAGCCUGACAAAAUACCAGGGUCCACUAUGUGGCAAGACAUCUGCCUCAAAGAGCUCACAAAAGGGAUGAGGAGCCUGCAGGUUUAUCUGGAGAGGGUGAGACUGGGUCCCAUUCCAUUUCUGCUUGCUCCUAGGCUCUGCCUGUUCCGCUUACCAUGGGCUCAUGGGGAGCCAUGGCAGAGGUGGAGGUUUGUCUGCCUCCCUGGCUCCUGUGCUGGCUGAUCAUCCCCCUCCUGAACUAUCCCUGUGGGCUCCAUCUGGAGCUCACCCCCAUGCAGGGAGCACUAAGCCCUGCCUGGGUUUUUUCAAGGAGGUAGGAUACCUGUAUUGUAAUGAUGGGCUGCAGAAGGAAGAUGUGGGUGAGGGAGAAGCAUUUACACUGGUGUAGAUUGCCUUGGGCCAGAGUAGGAGCUUGGCAAAGCUUGGUCGCACCAGCUGUGUGCUGUCAAGCUCUGGCUGUUCUCUGGCUUCCCCAGUGUUAUCUUCCUGGCAAAGGAUGGGGCCAGCUUCAAGCUUUGAGCCAGAUCGUUUAUACCCAAAAGAAAACAGUUGUUUUGAUACCAAAUAAAGCAUGUUGUUUAUUUUGGGGAAAUUUCCACCUUCUUUUCGUUUUCCAUCCUUACUGUAUGUAACAAAAAUUCUCUUUAAACAGGGUUUCAGAAGAGGAACAGUGCAUCACUUGUAUAGCAGCUGCGUAGCACGGCACGUGUUUUUCAACAGGCAGAGCCAGAGGUCACAGUCUCUUGGGUGUGUAACCUUGACCAUGGAUUUUGUAACUCUCAGCAUGGGAAAAGAAGAAUCAACCUCAGUUUGCCAUUUCCCUCUGCCUCUGGGGCAUGAGAACCCCUCGCUCCGUGUCUCUUGCACAAGCUGCCCCAGUGCUCUGGGUCUGCUUGCUGCACUGUGCUGUCUGGCUGGGAACAGGAAUAGAGUGGGAGUGCAGGGCAGCUUCCAGCAUCCCCAGUCCUCAUGCAGUUGUGCUAGGCAGCAAACACAGUGACAUUUGUCCUGGCCUGGGUGAGACAUGGGGCCUGGGGUCUCAACGUUGUCUGUGCCAGGACACCUCCAGUACUUACGACUUGGUGCACACACCCUGCCAUGCAACGUGGCAGGUUGUCCUUGAGGGUUACAGCACUGGUGGAUCAGUGUGAUCAGAUGGCAAAAGCAACUCUGAGCUCCUGCCCUUUGAGCAGGGUAGAAACUCCUGCUCACAGGCAGCCAGAGAAACAGCUGACAUCAGUAAAAAAGGGAUAAGGGAUGAUAAAGGAGCACUUGCACCCAGGCAUACUUGUUGGGCAUACCCUUUGUCCAGAGCUGUUAGAUACCCUGCUGCACAGUGAGUGUACUGCGAUCCCUAACCCCCGCCUCCUGUGGGGAGUGUGACCCCAAGCUGCCUCCCCUGGGAGUUGCUGCCAGCUCUGGUUCCUUACGGAGGCAAGGA